UACGAAGGGGGCUAGCGUUGCUCGGAAUUACUGGGCGUAAAGGGCGCGUAGGCGGCACUGUUAGUCAGGCGUGAAAUUCCUGGGCUCAACCUGGGGACUGCGCUUGAUACGGCAGAGCUUGAGGAUGGAAGAGGGUCGCGGAAUUCCCAGUGUAGAGGUGAAAUUCGUAGAUAUUGGGAAGAACCACCGGUGGCGAAGGCGGGCGACCUGG
rnacentral:rRNA from 1 species